rnacentral:rRNA from 1 species
CAGUAGGGAGGAAGGUAGUGUAGUUAACACCUGCAUUAUUUGACGUUACCUACAGAAGAAGCACCGGCUAACUCCGUGCCAGCAGCCGCGGUAAUACGGAGGGUGCGAGCGUUAAUCGGAAUUACUGGGACGUAAAGCGCAUGCAGGCGGCCUGUUAAGUCAGAUGUGAAAGGACCCGGGGCGUUAACCUACGGAAUUGCUAUUUAGUAAACUAGGCGAGGCUAGAGUCUUGUAGAGGGGGUAGGAAUUUCAGGUGUAGCGGUGAAAUGCGUAGAGAUCUGAAGGAAUACCAGUGGCGAAGGCGGCCCCCUGGACAAAGACUGACGCUCAGAUGCGAAAGCGUGGGGAGCAAACAGGAUUAGAUACCCUGGUAG